rnacentral:rRNA from 1 species
AGGGAAUAGGGUUAAAAUUCCCUAACUAUCUAGCUGCGAUUCUAGUUCUUUUGGGCUAGUUGCGCGGUAACGCAAUUGAAGUCGGUAACAGCUUUCAUAGACCGGGCUAGAGUUCUCUUCUCUAGUUUAGGAACGGACUCCCUGGAAUCGGUUCAUCCGGAGAUAGGGACGUUGUUUCCGUAAAGUACCGCGGUUUCUGUGGUAUCCCGUGCUCUGUGAAUGCUCCUUGAAAAACUGACGAAAGCUAUUAAGCAGCAGAUAAUCGUACCGAUAUCCGCAUCAGGUCUUCAAGGUGAACAGCCUCUAGUCGAUAGAAUAAUGUAGGUAAGGGAAGUCGGCAAAUUAGAUCCGUAACUUCGGGAAAAGGAUUGGCUCCAGUGGUCGGGUUGGAAUGGCCUAUUGACCGAUGCUUGCGCGGUUUUUGCCGUGGCUGGUGUUUUUCGGAAUAUUGGCCUAGUGUAGAGACUGCCUUGUGGACGUUUUUAGGUGUGUACUUUGCUUUCGGGCUUAGUAUCCUGAUCUGCCGUUGUACGACCGAACUGGAACUGGUACGGACUCGGGGAAUCCGACUGUCUAAUUA